rnacentral:piRNA from 1 species
UCAGACUUGCCAAGAAGAGUAGAAGGUUA